UUACGGCCAUAUCACAUUGAAACAUCAAUUCCUGUAUGAUCACUGAAGUUAAGCAAUGUUGAGCCUGGUUAGCACCUAGAUGGAUAACCACUUGGGAAAACUAGGUACUGUAA